AUACUUACCUGGACGGGGUCAAUGGGCGAUCAAAAAGGUCCAUGGCCUAGGCUUGUGACCUCUAUUGCACUUUGGAGGGGUGCUAGCCUAAGGUCGGCCCAAGUGGUCGAGCCUAUGUCAUAAUUUGUGAUAGUGGAGGCCUGUGUUCGCGCGGCCCUGCC
rnacentral:snRNA from 1 species